rnacentral:misc_RNA from 1 species
UUCUUUUUCUUUUUCUUUUUCUUAUUUUUCCCUAUUAUUAAUACUCAUAUAGUUCCAAAGCAAGCAAUCACAUGUUUGAUAAGCUAAUAAUUUCUUGGACAAUAAUUCUAUUGGAAAUUUGUAUUUCAGUUAGUUUUCUGUUAUUGCUAAUACUGGAAUUAAUUUGGAAUCAUUAUUAUAAUUUUCUUUUCCUGUUAUAAUUUUCCCAUUGAGCUGCUUAAUUUGGUGUGAGGCUCACUCUACUCAGCCAUGUCUUGUUGCUUUGCUAAAUGGUGUGUUUUAUAGGUUUGCUUGCUUGUGUAUUUAACCAUGGAGUGGUAGUCGUCAUGCACUGGCUUUAUACGUGCCAUGUUUGUCCACCAGCUCAAGUGGGCUCCUUUUUCUUUUGUUCUUUUUGUAGUCUUGGAGCCGAAAAAAGAAUAUUUUGAUUACCAGUAUCCAUUGAAUGACAACAUGUUAGUGUUACCAACGCAUGAAUCUUGUGUUGUAAAAUUGUGAGAUAUCAUCACUUUUAGCAACAAAAAUACCGACGUUUGGAAAGGCGUCGGCAAACAUUUAGAGUUGCCAUCUCUAAAUUAAAUUAUUAGCAUUGAUAAUAGCAUUUUUUUUUUUCUUUAUAUAUGUGUGCGUGUGGAAAAUAAUGUUUUUGGGAUGAUUGCAGAACGAAGAACAAGGCGAAUGCA